rnacentral:rRNA from 1 species
UAUGUGAUCGUCUCUCGCAUAUCAAUAAGCGGAGGAAAAGAAACUAACAAGGAUUCCCCUAGUAACGGCGAGUGGAGCGGGAAGAGCUCAAAUUUGAAAUCUUAAAGGGUUUCCCUUUACGAAUUGUAGUUUAAAGAAGUGUUUUCUGUUGAGGUUUUGGUAAAAGUUCUUUGGAAUAGGACAUCAUAGAGGGUGAGAAUCCCGUAUUUGACCUUUACUUUCAACUUUGUGAUACACUUUCAAAGAGUCGGAUUGUUUGGGAAUGCAGGUCCAAAAUGGGUGGUAAAUUUCAUCUAAAGCUAAAUAUUGGCGAGAGACCGAUAGCGAACAAGUACCGUGAGGGAAAGAUGAAAAGAACUUUGAAAAGAGAGUUAAACAGUACGUGAAAUUGUCAAAAGGGAAGCGUUUGACACCAGUGUUGUUUUUCUGAAAAUCAAUUAAAGAACUGUUUAUGCUAAGUUGUUUAGACUUUAUCAGCUAACUGUUUAGUUUUGAGCUUUUCUUUAAUGCACUUUUCAGUUAACAAGUCAACAUCAAUUUCUUUUGCUGUAAAAAAGCUUGAGGAAGGUGGCUUGAGAUUCGUCUUAAGUGUUUAUAGCCUCUUGCCUAUGCAGUCGGAGAGAUUGAGGUCUGCAGCGUAGAUCCUUCGGGGCUAAAUGCAUUUGUGCUAAGUUAUAGCAUUUUAUAGACAACUUGUUGACUAUGAUUUGUCUUGUAGCUUACUCGCUUAUGUUAUUUUACCUACGCUUAGGAUGUUGAGCGCAUGUCUCUCUCU